UGAAGCGGUCUCAUUGCCACCAACCAAAGCCGCCUCUUUCAAACCCUAAUCCCCUGUUUCCUUUCAUAAGCAUGAGCUUCAUCAUGGUCAUCGUUUCUGGUCCUGUAUAUACACUUUCAUGAGGAGGUUAAGAAAAUAAGAACUAGGGUUUAUCUCCUUGAUUAAUGAGGAGGUUAAGAAAAUAAGAACUAGGGUUUAUCUCCUUGAUUAAUGUAAUGCUUUAUCUAUCUCAAGGUUUUGAUGCACAAUAUUAUGGAGAUCUGGUUUCAGUUUUGUUUAGUAAACCUUUAUGUCACAAUCUUAGGGCUGCAAACGAACCGAACUGAGCUGAGCAUCGAACUUGUUCAUGAACAUCGUUGCACAAACACAUAUCGAACUUAAAUUCCUGUUCGUGUUUGUUCAUUGAGGAAUUGAACUUGUUCACGAACACUAGCAAACACAUACGGUUAUUAAAAAAAAACCAACAUUCUUAAUCCCAAAU
rnacentral:lncRNA from 1 species